AUCUCUGGGAUCUCUGAGUCCACCUUCACCGCUCCGUCUCUGGCUUGGACCCUCCUCUGGUUUCUUUGCAUGAGGACUUCCGUAAUUACACUGGAUCCACCAGAAUAACCAGGAUAACCUCCCACCUCAAGAUGCUUAACUUUAUCACCUGUGCAAAAUCCCUUUUUCCCUGUAAGAUAACUGCAAGAGAUUCAAACGGGGUAAUCCAUGGAGGAAAAGACUGGCUGUUCAAGGAAGGCUUCGUGAAGUGAAGGCAUUUGAGCUUAGUAAGAGGAGCAGUAAAGAAGUUUCUAGAUAUGAAGGGAACGACCAAGAUGGGAUAGCACCAGGGACACUGAGGGAGGCGUGUCUGAGGGUUGGUCCGCAGGGCGAAAAGCUGCAGCAGUAUCAAGGAGAAACAAACCCCACGAUGGCUCCUGGUGUGGCGGCUGGUGUCAACGGACUGUGAGAGUGUGGGUCCUGCCCUGUCACCCACAGCUGGAGGAAGAGCCGUCCAGGGGGAUGGGUGUGGCCCAUCCUUCACUGGCUGGGCCCCUGUGUUCGAAACUUACCACCAGGGGGCUCACAAGAGCCAAAGUGGACUCUCAGCCAGAGCAAGGGUUUUUCCCCCCAGAAGCAGGAUGAUGCCCUGAGGGAAGGGAAGAAAAGUUUCCCCUCUGCAGCGCCACAAAGCCUGGAAGGCCUUACUCCCUCCAUGUGAUCUCUGACUCAAGGGCUUACCCAGAUUUUUCCCUUCCCGUUAAAGCAAACCAUAUUUUUUCCAUCUCUCCCUUUACUGGUUGCCUGUACGACUCAACGCCUGAAGUAAACACGCUCUGGCUGGGGCGCAUUGCCGCGCAGGUCAGAACAGAGGACACACUGACACCUCCUCGUCCCAAGGGGUCAUUGGGCAGGGAGGACACCCAGGCGCAGACAGUGGGAACUCGGAUCUCUUCACUCUUGAUCAUCCUGAAAAUGUUGUGCAUCCAUGAGACAGAUCUAACAAUUAUAACAAACACAAAAUAAGUGCUAGAAGUGCUAACACCAGCUGUUUCUGGGACAUCUAAACCUUAUGUGCAAGAAACCGUUCGUAUUUGAGAAUUACUCCCAUUAGCCUCCGACCUAUCUUCCCACCGGGACUGCAAACUGAUUCCUCCUACUGAACAUGAUGG